GGGAGAGCGCUGGAUCCUGGGCUGUGUCCCAGGCGCCACCGGCCCGGGGCCUGCACCACUGGAAUCACGCUCCUGGGGCCGCACAGCCCCCU
rnacentral:pre_miRNA from 1 species